rnacentral:rRNA from 1 species
ACCUACAGCCAUAUCACCCUGCAGCUCAAGACCAGUUACUCACUGAAGCCAAGCAGGGCUAAGUCUGGUCAGUACAUGGAUAGGGGUCCACAUGGUAAAACUAGGUUGCUGUUGGAA